UACGAGGGGUGCGAGCGUUAUUCGGAAUCAUUGGGCGUAAAGGGUGCGUAGGCGGCAAAUUAAGUCAGCUGUUAAAUUUCCUGGCCUAACCAGGAACAUGCGGUCGAUACUGAUAUGCUAGAGGAUGGAAGAGAGAAGUGGAAUUCUCGGAGUAGCGGUAAAAUGCGUAGAUCUCGAGAGGAACACCGAUGGCGAAGGCAGCUUCUUGGUCCAUAUCUGACGCUGAGUGCACGAAAGCGUGGGGAGCAAACAGG
rnacentral:rRNA from 1 species